rnacentral:rRNA from 1 species
CCUACGGGAGGCAGCAGUGGGGGAUAUUGCACAAUGGGGGGAACCCUGAUGCAGCGACGCCGCGUGGGUGAAGGAGUGCUUCGGCAUGUAAAGCCCUAUCGGCAGGGAAGAAGCAAGACGGUACCUGACUAAGAAGCCCCGGCUAACUACGUGCCAGCAGCCGCGGUAAUACGUAGGGGGCGCGCGUUAUCCGGAUUCACUGGGUGUAAAGGGAGCGUAGACGGCCAGGCAAGCCAGGGGUGAAAGCCCGGGGCCCAACCCCGGGACUGCCCUUGAAACUGUGCGGCUAGAGUGCGGGAGGGGCAGGCGGAAUUCCUGGUGUAGCGGUGAAAUGCGUAGAGAUCAGGAGGAACACCGGCGGCGAAGGCGGCCUGCUGGACUGCGACUGACGUUGAGGCUCGAAAGCGUGGGGAGCGAACAGGAUUAGAUACCCCUGUAGUC